UUCAUCAAAACCAAAUACAACUAAGAAUUGAAAUGAUUAAAAAGAAAUCUUUGAACAAUACCCCUAAGUUAUGAAUUUUGUAUGUAGAGUAUAUGCAUUUCUUUGAAUGUGUUUAAUAGUUUGGUAACUUGAUUUAUUGGUCCAUAGCAUAUUAAUGUUAACGAAAGGAAGGGUCCAGAACAAGGAUGGAAAGCACGUCCUGCCAAAGGCUCCGUAGGGACAGCCAGCCCAGUUGAGAAGUAGUAACUCUGUGCCAUCAAAAAAGCUGAAAUUGCAUACACAGUAUGUAAUGCCUGUUAGAAAGUAACUUAAAAAAAUUUUAAAGCAUUGGUUUAAGUGAUAUAAGCAUCACUUUUCUCACAUGUUGUAUUUAUAGUGGAUGUAUUUUUGCAGUGAUGGCUGUCUAUUCUCAUACUCUAAAGUCGCGGUGUUUACUUUAAGCACUGCAGUUGGGUGCCAUCCUUACUGGGAAGUUGUGCUUUGUAUGUACUUGACAGGUGACGUGCCUGAGACUUAGUCCCCUCUGACCAACCUGCCACUGAGAAUCUAGCUGGUGUUGUUGAGGCUUGCCUGCAUUUUGGGCAUAGUCUUGAACUCUUUGUACAUUUUGGGGAUCUCAUCUGUUUUCAUGGAGGGAAAACUUAAAUCUUUAAACUUUGGUUUGAGAUUGUGUCAGAUCCAAAUCAAUUCAUAUGUACAAGUUAAACUAUAUAAUUAUAGGCCAUUACCCAGAUGACCCACCAGGCUUUCCAUCUAUUGAGUAAAUUAAACAGUUAUCAAAAUAACUUUAAAGACUAUUUUUUCAAAAAGCUCUGAGGUGUAUAAUGAAGUGGGGGUGGAGGGACUGUUCUGACUUCCAGUGAGUGCCUAUAGUAAAAAUAGAAGUUCUUAGGUUCAGAGCAGUUCCAGUGUCACAGUGGGUCUUCGCAUGGUUUUUGUCUUUUAAAAUUCCCCAUCUUUUAGGCUUAAAUUUGGGGUUGCUUCUAGUUUUCGGCACUGUGUUGAGCAUUGAAAGGGUAGUGCUCAGAGUGAUGGCUGAGGGUCUUCACAGUGUGGGCUCAGUGCUCACAGCACACUUCCUGCUCUGUCUCUCAUCAGAAGUGAAGUUCUGUGUUGAUAAAUUUAAAAUCAUCUUGGUCUUUAUGAUUUAAGGAAUGUUUUAUUUUAGACUUUUUUUUUUUUAAAUAGAGGUUAGUUUGUCAUCUCCCAUAAGAUCAUUUGUUCUGUAAAUUAAAUACCCGUUCUAUGGGGGGUACUUGGUAACUCUUCCCGUCAGUUGCAAAGUGGAGAGAGUGGCUGGCUGUGUACAGACAGUCACUGUGCUGGCAUUUAUGAAACAAGCUGUUUCACAGUCAUAGUUCUUAUAACUGUUGAUGGUCCCGGCAGGAGCUUUAGUUUAUGAGACUUGACGCUUUCAUAAGGUUAGUAUAUUACAAAUAAAUACAGAGGGAUUUCUAAAGCACACCUUUUAGAUUUGACUGUAAUAGCCCUAUUACUUGUUACCAUAGAUAUUUGAUGUAAAAUAACUUCCAAAAUGACAACAAACACUAUUUAUAUUUUGCCCACCUUUUCAAUGUCAGGCUUAAUAGAAACUGAAGAUAGUCAUACUACUUGCAUUCAGACUUUUCAGGUACCACAGCAGGGAGGCACUGGAAACUGUACUUGUGGAAUCCAGAUGGUGAGAAAGGCACAAACCACCUUAGAAUUAGUAGAAAAGCAGCUAGACCUGGUACAGGUAUUCAGGGUCCCCAGAUAACAUUUUGAGAACACAGCACUUUAAAUUUGUGUGUUCCUGAUAUAUUUACCUCUGUCUGGGGAAACCUUGCUCCUUCUGAACUUAAGGGGUUGUUUCCUUUGGUGAAAUUCCAGUUGAAAUCAUUGUUAAAUAUUUUAAAGAACUAAUGGUAAUGGUGUGGGUGUGGUGUUUUUUUACACCCUAAGUGGUUUUCUUCUAUCAGCUCAUGUAUUGGCAUAGAACAGGUAAGCUAGCAACAGUUUUUAUCCUUGGGAGACAGUACUGUUGGGUUGAAGUGUGCUUUCAUAGUUAGGUGUUAGUAGACCCGUCUCUUUACCAAGUUACUCACUUCCUGUAUUCUCAAAAAUACUUAAAUCAUGUAACAUGAAUUCUUUUACACUGUGAUGAAAGUACUAUUUGCUCCGUAGAGUCUUGUUUUGUUUGCUUUUUUAAAUGGCAGGAUCUUUACAUAGCCCUGGCUGUCCUGGAACUCCAGCCUCAGACUCACAGAAAUCAUCUGCCUCUGCCACCACACCCAGCCAGCCCACUGUAGAGUAGUGGGGUGAGAUGGAACAGCUUGGCACCUCAGGCUGACAGUGGCACAUUGCAUGGGACGGCUUACCUUUAUUUAUGUAGUCUGUUCCCCCUACAGUUUCAAAAUUUGCUUUUUUAAAGGUAAUUAAAAGUUUGUAUAAAUUAGCUUAUUGUAUUGAAUUUAUCAGUUAGUUGAACCUUGUGUAUUUUAAAGCGGUGUUAUUACUUUGCUUUUUGUAUGGUUGUGUUUGAACAAAUGAAGAUGUGAGCGUAACCAGGCCUGUGUGGUGGGUGUUUCACAGCCAUCUCUGAAGAAAAGAUGAAGGAACCAGCUUUGUAGUAGCAGGCUUAUUUUUACUAGUGGUCUGGGGUCUUGAAAUGCUGCCAUUGAAACGAACAGGAGUGGAUCUGCUGAGCCUGCGCUAGACAGCUGCAGCAUAGCCCUGGUGUGUGACCCCAGAACUGACUAGGUUUACUGCUCCUUUCAUGACUACAUCCGGGCUUUGAAAACCUUCAGUUUAUAUUUUUAAUGAUGCAUUCUAUAAGCUUAUUUCUGAAAGUUCACUAUAAUUUGGAAAUGUCCAAGUGCUGGGAAAGAUUGGGGCAGAUGCUAGUCUUCCCCGGUGUGGGGCUGUACAGGUGCUUGCUGUCUGCAGAUGUGCCGGUAGAGAACUCCUAGAACUGGGUUCAGAUCCCACAGGAGCAGAGCAUGCGCUUGCAAAGGGCUCCUGACUCCAUGUCCUUCCUCGGGCAGCUUUGCUUCCUUCCGUUUUAGGAGUUUGGGUUAGUGUUUCCAGUGAAGACUUCUGCCGAGAAGGUCUAUCUGAUAUCUUACCCAUUCUGCAUGGUUUAUGCCUGUAGUUGAGCCCAUUGUUGUGAAAUCUGUCCUUGUCCAGUACCUAGAUCUGUGGAGGUCAAUGAAAACGGAAUGUUUGAUUCAGAAUUUCAUAAAAAGAAAAUCCUAGACAGAACAUUUUAAUUGCCUAUAGACAUGCCCAUUAGUUAAUUUUUAAAUUGUUUUGUUCUCCAGAGUCUUGAGCACUUGUUGUCUGAGUCACAAUCUUAAACAAGUAGCCUUCUGAUUAUAACACUUGAGGUAGGGAAGGUUAUAAACUACUGUUCCACAGUGUUCCUAGAAAGUGGUGAAUAGAGCCAGAUUUUUACAGACUUAGAAGUCUUUAUAUGUUCUAAAUAACAUGCUUAGGAGUUUUACACAGGGUAGAAGGUAAAUGCAGAAUGUUUCCCUCUGCACGUCAGGGGGCUACUUCCUCUUCCUUGUCUUCGUAGUGUUGAGGAAUGCUUUCUAUUAUGUCUGUCUACACAUCUGUGCAUGCCUUUCAUGGUUCUGCCUUUUAAAAAUGCAGACUUUUCAGCUUUCUCCUUUGUUUUAACGUGGACACCUUUCCAUUUGCCAUGUGCAGCACUAUCUCAUUGUGUGAAUGGCAUCAGGAUCCAGGAGUGGAUGUCCUUUGCAGGAACAUUUUUGCACGUAUAUGCAUAUACAUAUAUACAUGUUUAUAUGCAUAUGUAUACACACAUAUAUUACAUACAUGUGCAUGCUUACAUGGAAAUUCUUGAUUUUGGCAGAUAGGGAACUUUCAACAAAACAGAUAAUUCUAUUUUGAGGCUCAUCAGCUAUUUAUAUAUGGUAUUUUAUUUCUUCCUGAGAAAAAUUUCAGGUCUUUCAAAUAGUUGUAAAAUGCCAGCAUUUACAUUAAACUGUGUGGGCAGUCAGUGCACUCACUGAGAGACUAUGGAAUCUCAUGUCUUAUUUUAUAUCUUACUCUUUCUGUCACCCCUACCUGUGACCCUAAAGUUUCUAAAAGAACAGCUUGAAAGCUUCCUCUUCCAGUUUGUCAGUAUUGUGAAUCUCCUCAUUCCCACGAGCUUGGAAUGAAUGAACCCUAUAUUUAUGAAAGAAAGUACAAGUCUAUUUUUUCACAACUAGAGUCUUCAGAAUUAGCUUUUGCUUUGGGAAACAACUCAUAAAAGUUUUGGGUUUUGGCUUCUUACCGAAAUAUGCAUUUAGUACUAGUUGUACAUAGAACUUGCUUCCUAGAAAAGUUUGUUUUUCAUGAGGAACACUUACCUACUAACUGACUUGAAAACCCCUCUGCAUGUGGAGGGUAGGAGUGAGGGAAGUUCAAAGGGCAGUAGUCAGGGGCUGGCUUCUGUGGGCUGUGUUUGGAAAAUGUUGACAUGCUGAGGUCUUUGAGGCUCAGUUUUGGUGCAGGAAGUGGUUUUAGAUACUGAUUUUGAUAAUUGUUUCUUUUCUCUUUUGGAGAUGCUGAGGAUUGAACCCUCAGUGUUGCACAUGAAUGCUCUACAACUAAGUCCAGCUAAUUUCUUGUUCAUUGUAAAAUAUUGUUGAAAUAAUUUUUUAAAAUAAAGAUAUGACUUUGUGUACCCUUUGGGAUGGCCUCUUCAAUUGUGUCAUAGUAUAACAAGAUGCCUGGGAGAUGGAAAGAUGCUCCUCUAUCUGUGUCUGCUUCCAACAGAAAUGUCCUUUUCUCUGAUUAGUUUUACCAAGCUUCUGGAUAUAGAAUGUUUGUUGAUAGAAUUUGGUAUCUUUAUUGAGUAUGUAUUUCGUUG
rnacentral:lncRNA from 1 species